CCUACAACAGUGGCUGCACCCGUUCCCAGUAUCAGCUCUUUUUUUAAUAAUAAUUGUACGUUAUUCAAAAACUUAAACGUCAAGUUUUUUCAAUAUAAUUGCAUAUAUAUAGAUAAAUAUAUUUUUUUUAAAAAGCUGAUACUGGAGACGAAUGUGGCGACUGUUGUAGG